GACGAACGCUGGCGGCGUGCUUAACACAUGCAGGUCGAACGAUGACGACCGAGCUUGCUCGGUCUGAUUAGUGGCGAACGGGUGAGUAACACGUGAGCAACCUGCCCUUCACUCUGGGAUAACCUCGGGAAAUCGGGGCUAAUACCGGAUAUGAGCUCCUGUCGCAUGGCGGGUGUUGGAAAGUUUUUCGGUGAAGGAUGGGCUCGCGGCCUAUCAGUUUGUUGGUGAGGUAGUGGCUCACCAAGGCGAUGACGGGUAGCCGGCCUGAGAGGGCGACCGGCCACACUGGGACUGAGACACGGCCCAGACUCCUACGGGAGGCAGCAGUGGGGAAUAUUGCACAAUGGGCGAAAGCCUGAUGCAGCGACGCCGCGUGAGGGAUGACGGCCUUCGGGUUGUAAACCUCUUUCAGCAGGGAAGAAGCGAAAGUGACGGUACCUGCAGAAGAAGCGCCGGCUAACUACGU
rnacentral:rRNA from 1 species